rnacentral:SRP_RNA from 14 species
AAUUUCCCAAAUUCCGUCAGGUCCGGAAC